GAGUUUGAUCAUGGCUCAGAUUGAACGCUGGCGGCAGGCUUAACACAUGCAAGUCGAGCGGGGACUUCGGUCCUAGCGGCGAACGGGUGAGGAAUGCUUGGGAAUCUGCCUGGUAGUGGGGGAUAACGUUUCGAAAGGAACGCUAAUACCGCAUACGUCCUACGGGAGAAAGGGGGGGAUCUUCGGACCUCUCGCUAUCAGAUGAGCCCAAGUCGGAUUAGCUAGUUGGUGAGGUAAAGGCUCACCAAGGCGACGAUCCGUAGCUGGUCUGAGAGGAUGAUCAGCCACACUGGAACUGAGACACGGUCCAGACUCCUACGGGAG
rnacentral:rRNA from 1 species